rnacentral:pre_miRNA from 1 species
AUUGCCCCCCAGAGAGGGAGGCCCAGGCUACCCGCUGCAGUGACGCUAGCGGGUAACCUGGGCCUCCCUCUUUGGGGCGAUUGA